UGGGGAAUCUUGCGCAAUGGACGAAAGUCUGACGCAGCAACGCCGCGUGGGUGACGAAGGCCCUUGGGUCGUAAAGCCCUGUCAGAAGGGAAGAACCAUCAGAUGGCUAAUACCUGUCUGGUCUGACGGUACCUUCAGAGGAAGCACCGGCUAACUCCGUGCCAGCAGCCGCGGUAAGACGGAGGGUGCAAGCGUUGUUCGGAAUUAUUGGGCGUAAAGAGUGCGUAGGCGGCUCAGCAAGUCGGGUGUGAAAGCCCAGGGCUCAACCCUGGAACUGCGCCCGAAACUGCUGGACUUGAGUCCGGGAGAGGGUAGCGGAAUUGUCGGUGUAGAGGUGAAAUUCGUAGAUAUCGGCAAGAACAUCUGCGGCGAAGGCGGCUACCUGGAUCGAGACUGACGCUGAGGCACGAAAGCGUGGGGAGCAAACAGG
rnacentral:rRNA from 1 species